rnacentral:rRNA from 1 species
UACCAGCUCCCCGAGUGGUCGGCACGUUUAUUGGGCCUAAAGCAUCCGUAGCCGGUUCUACAAGUCUUCCGUUAAAUCCACCUGCUUAACAGAUGGGCUGCGGAAGAUACUAUAGAGCUAGGAGGCGGGAGAGGCAAGCGGUACUCGAUGGGUAGGGGUAAAAUCCGUUGAUCCAUUGAAGACCACCAGUGGCGAAGGCGGCUUGCCAGAACGCGCUCGACGGUGAGGGAUGAAAGCUGGGGGAGCAAACCGG